AGAAGGAAAGAUUAAAUAAAGUAAAAAUAGAUUAACAAAACGGUUGCAUAUCAUCAUCAUCGUCGCUUCGUUUAGUCCGUUUUCACCCUUCCUGAGCGGUUGGACCCUUAAUGGCCCUCCUCCAUUCUACUCUAUCUGCCGCCCGAUGCUCAUUCAGUCCCAUCAGUUCCAAGUCUUCCUGUAUACACCUUCUCCACGUUUUCCUAAGUCUACCAACUGGUCUCCUUCCUUCUACCUCCAGUCUCUCCACAACUCCCAGCACUGUGUCCUCCCCUGCUCUCUUUACAUGUCCAAACCAUCAGAGUCUUUCCCUUCUGCCCUUCUGAGCACUGUUUCCAGGUCCUCUCCUCCACAUCUGUAUCCUCCCCUGCUCUCUUUACAUGUCCAAACCAUCAGAGUCUUUCCCUUCUGAGCACUGUUUCCAGGUCCUCUACUCCACAUCUGUAUCCUCCCCUGCUCUCUUUACAUGUCCAAACCAUCAGAGUCUUUCCCUUCUGAGCACUGUUUAAAAGGUCCUCUACUCCACAUCUGUAUCCUCCCCUGCUCUCUUUACAUGUCCAAACCAUCAGAGUCUUUCCCUUCUGAGCACUGUUUCCAGGUCCUCUACUCCACAUCUGUAUCCUCCCCCGCUCUCUUCACAUGUCCAAACCAUCAGAGUCUUUCCCUUCUGAGCACUGUUUCCAGGUCCUCUACUCCACAUCUGUAUCCUCCCCUGCUCUCUUUACAUGUCCAAACCAUCAGAGUCUUUCCCUUCUGAGCACUGUUUCCAGGUCCUCUACUCCACAUCUGUAUCCUCCCCUGCUCUCUUUACAUGUCCAAACCAUCAGAGUCUUUCCCUUCUGAGCACUGUUUAAAAGGUCCUCUCCUCCACAUCUGUAUCCUCCCCUGCUCUCUUUACAUGUCCAAACCAUCAGAGUCUUUCCCUUCUGAGCACUGUUUCCAGGUCCUCUACUCCACAUCUGUAUCCUCCCCUGCUCUCUUUACAUGUCCAAACCAUCAGAGUCUUUCCCUUCUGAGCACUGUUUCCAGGUCCUCUCCUCCACAUCUGUAUCCUCCCCUGCUCUCUUUACAUGUCCAAACCAUCAGAGUCUUUCCCUUCUGAGCACUGUUUCCAGGUCCUCUACUCCACAUCUGUAUCCUCCCCUGCUCUCUUUACAUGUCCAAACCAUCAGAGUCUUUCCCUUCUGAGCACUGUUUCCAGGUCCUCUCCUCCACAUCUGUAUCCUCCCCUGCUCUCUUUACAUGACCAAACCAUCAGAGUCUUUCCCUUCUGAGCACUGUUUCCAGGUCCUCUACUUACGAAUAAAUAUAGGAAUUAAGAAACUAAACAGGAAUAAAGAAAGAUAAAUAAGAAUAAAUAGGAAUAAAGAAAGAGGAGAAAGAGUAGAUAUGUAGUAGGAUGGAGAGAAGGAAGAAGGGUUAGGUUAGGUUAGGUUAGGAAUAGAGAAAGAAAAAAAAUAGAAGGAAAAGUGUUACGAUGAGAGGGAAAAGGAAUAAAGAAAGGAGAGAGUGGAUAGUAGGAAGGAGAGAUAAAAGGAAAGAAGAAAGGUGUGUUAGGUUAGGUUAGGUUAGGUUAG